GACGAACGCUGGCGGCGUGCUUAACACUUGCAAGUCGAACGGAAAGGCCCUGCUUUUGUGGGGUGCUCGAGUGGCGAACGGGUGAGUAACACGUGAGUAACCUGCCCUUGACUUUGGGAUAACUUCAGGAAACUGGGGCUAAUACCGGAUAGGAGCUCCUGCUGCAUGGUGGGGGUUGGAAAGUUUCGGCGGUUGGGGAUGGACUCGCGGCUUAUCAGCUUGUUGGUGGGGUAGUGGCUUACCAAGGCUUUGACGGGUAGCCGGCCUGAGAGGGUGACCGGCCACAUUGGGACUGAGAUACGGCCCAGACUCCUACGGGAGGCAGCAGUGGGGAAUAUUGCACAAUGGGCGGAAGCCUGAUGCAGCAACGCCGCGUGCGGGAUGACGGCCUUCGGGUUGUAAACCGCUUUCGCCUGUGACGAAGCGUGAGUGUCGGUAAUGGGUAAAGAAGCACCGGCUAACUACGUGCCAGCAGCCGCGGUGAUACGUAGGGUGCGAGCGUUGUCCGGAUUUAUUGGGCGUAAAGGGCUCGUAGGUGGUUGAUCGCGUCGGAAGUGUAAUCUUGGGGCUUAACCCUGAGCGUGCUUUCGAUACGGGUUGACUUGAGGAAGGUAGGGGAGAAUGGAAUUCCUGGUGGAGCGGUGGAAUGCGCAGAUAUCAGGAGGAACACCAGUGGCGAAGGCGGUUCUCUGGGCCUUUCCUGACGCUGAGGAGCGAAAGCGUGGGGAGCGAACAGGCUUAGAUACCCUGGUAGUCCACGCUGUAAACGGUGGGUACUAGGUGUGGGGUCCAUUCCACGGGUUCCGUGCCGUAGCUAACGCUUUAAGUACCCCGCCUGGGGAGUACGGCCGCAAGGCUAAAACUCAAAGGAAUUGACGGGGCCCCGCACAAGCGGCGGAGCAUGCGGAUUAAUUCGAUGCAACGCGUAGAACCUUACCUGGGUUUGACAUGGAUCGGGAGUGCUCAGAGAUGGGUGUGCCUCUUUUGGGGUCGGUUCACAGGUGGUGCAUGGCUGUCGUCAGCUCGUGUCGUGAGAUGUUGGGUUAAGUCCCGCAACGAGCGCAACCCUUGUUCACUGUUGCCAGCACGUUAUGGUGGGGACUCAGUGGAGACCGCCGGGGUCAACUCGGAGGAAGGUGGGGAUGACGUCAAGUCAUCAUGCCCCUUAUGUCCAGGGCUUCACGCAUGCUACAAUGGCUGGUACAGAGAGUGGCGAGCCUGUGAGGGUGAGCGAAUCUCGGAAAGCCGGUCUCAGUUCGGAUUGGGGUCUGCAACUCGACCUCAUGAAGUCGGAGUCGCUAGUAAUCGCAGAUCAGCAACGCUGCGGUGAAUACGUUCCCGGG
rnacentral:rRNA from 1 species